rfam:Alligator mississippiensis ScZkoYb_5, whole genome shotgun sequence.
UUUUCAUUCCACAGAUACUACUAGCUUAUUGAACAAUCCAUCGACCCUUCUGUAGUGAGUCCGCUUAGUGCAGAAUGGCUGCAGGGAUUCUAUUCAGACAUCCCAGUAGAAAACUACACAGAGUGGAACAAAUCCCUUCCGGAU